CGCUUUGCGGACGACACUUUGAACGAGAAGCUGACCACAAUGUCUACAGACCCGCAUACGUUAAUGUCGAAUAGAAUGUAAUCUUCCUGUAGUAAACUGCGGACUUCAAAUACUUCGAACCAGUCUGCUACAAUGUUUACAUGGCUCUAAAAGCAUAUGAGUAGAGCUUGGGAUUAUCGCGAAUUUUUGUUCUAGUCAUGGACAAAGAUGAAACAAAUCAUGGUCCUGCUAUAAGUAGUGAAGCAAGCACCUUAUCCACAAAAGAAAAAGAUGAUAGAGCCUUCAAAGCCAAAGCUGCUGCAUUUCUUGCUGGUGUGACUGGUGUCUCAAUUUUGUUUGGGUUUGGGACAACUCUUGCUGCAGCCAAAAAAAAGGAUCCCCAUUUUUUCGAUCAAGGGCUGACCGGACGCUUCGAAAAACAGGCAACAGAACCAACUUCAAGUGAGGCGGCUUCAGCAAUGAGGAGGCGUGGCCCCGUAUCGAUUAGUUCUGCCGAACCGGGCGCGUCUUUGGCUCUUCGAGCCCUCGGUUGGGGCACCGUUUAUGCAGUGACCGGAUGUUCUCUACUAUUUUACGGCAUCUGGAAGCUUAUGGCUGUUAAUGACUUGAAAGAGUUUCGGCUGAAAGUUGGUGGCUGGUUGCCUGCCGUUCCUCGUAACACGCCACAGGGUCGCACGGAAUUCUCGGGCCUCAAUGAUUUGUUGCAGUACAUUAUCGACGUUGACAAGGAGAAGAAAGAGGCGGCCAAGAAAACUGAUGCCAAAUGAUAGUGUGUAUGUGUAUUCAACUAUUUUCGCCAUUCAGUUCAAUGAAUGUCAUUGCUCUCAAAAGAUUUAAGUCCAGUUAACUCAUACAAACAUUGAGAUAGAAUUUGCACUUAGUGACGCGCGAAACGUAUUUUUGAAAGAAGAUCGAGGAAACCGUUAGAGGGGAUAAGAAACGUGGUAAACAUUAAAAAGGGAGAUAGGAUUUAAUGCCAUAAAUUUCCAAGAUUUAAAUUCUUUUCUUUUCUGCUUUUUUCAUCAAGAAGAACCUUUGUACACAUACGGGCACCGAUGCAAUAAGGAUUAACAGUUAAGAUUACAGCUUGUGGAACCUUGAAACAAAAAGAGAACAAAGCAACGGAGAAUGGAUCAUCGAUCUUGAAGAGGGAUCUGAAGAAGGAGGAAAUUUAAUCCAAAGAUGAGCACAUUCAGUGGAAUGGAAGAUUUCAGCGCUGACUGCCUUUGAACCGCCGCCGGUCGAUCACCUAAUCAAUUCGUUGAAAAAGAAUUAUACGUUACCUUCUUUGCCCUUUACAGCCGCAUUACUUUCAGACCACAAACAACAUCAGAAAAAAGUUGCAUGGAUGAUCACAGGAUUCCUGUUGUUGAGCAAUCACCUGAUGUGAAACUUUUUAAAAUCGUUCUGCGAAUGAAACUUUAAAUUCUAAUUGAA